ensembl:lincRNA uncharacterized LOC110298963
CAGAGUCCGUGGCCAAGGAGGGCCUUGCGGGCGGCGACGGAGCAGUGAUCGGUGUCUCGAAGAGCUCGGACUGGAGACUAGGCCAGGUCUCCAGCAGAGGUGGAUGUGCCUGCCAGUCACUGAAGGCGAGGAUGACAGGUGUGGUCAACAUGACAGAAAGACAUGACAUGGUCCGGUGUGAUGGAGAGGACAGAAGGGCAGUCAUCCAGCCUUCCUGAACACCAUGGGCUGGCGCCGUGUCGUAGAGGCCAUCUGUUCUUUCACUUUUCCCAAAGAGCUAACACUUCUCUGCUGCUCUCUGGAUCCUCCUCCCCCUACCUUGAACCCUCAAGAUGAAAGGUGAGUUCUCUUCUGCCCCAUGUGGGUGGGACAUGGCGGGAUGCCAAGGGCAGGGGUCUCAUUCUCUCCCACCCAUAGAAAUGGUGCUACCCAGCUCAUGUCUGGGCCUUUGA